GACGGGGAGCACCACAACAGGUGGAGCCUGCGGUUUAAUCGGACUCAACGCCGGGAAACUCACCAGAUAAGACAGCUGAAUGAUAGUCGGGCUGAAGACUCUACUUGACUAGCUGAGAGGUGGUGCAUGGCCGUCGUCAGUUCGUACUGUGAAGCAUCCUGUUAAGUCAGGCAACGAGCGAGACCCACGCCCACAGUUGCCAGCGUACUCUCUGGAGUGACGGGUACACUGUGGGACCGCCGCUGCUAAAGCGGAGGAAGGAAUGGGCAACGGUAGGUCAGUAUGCCCCGAAUAUCCCGGGCUACACGCGAGCUACAAUGGUUGGUACAAUGGGUAUCUACCCCGAAAGGGGACGGGAAUCUCCUAAAACCAAUCUUAGUUCGGAUUGAGGGCUGCAACUCGCCCUCAUGAAGCUGGAAUCCGUAGUAAUCGCGUUUCAACAGAACGCGGUGAAUACGUCCCUGCUCCUU
rnacentral:rRNA from 1 species